rnacentral:piRNA from 1 species
UCCCUGGUCAUGGCCAUCUAAACUGGCUUA